rnacentral:rRNA from 1 species
UGUAAGCGCAUACCAAAGUUGUUGCAGUUAAAACGCUCGUAGUCGGAAUUUGGCAGUUCCGGAUGUGUGCACGUCGUGUGCGCACUUCGCGGGGAUUGCUUUUGUGGUCUUGCGUAGGAUGAGGCACUUUUAUUAGUGAACGUCCUCACGCAACCACUUUUUACUGUGAGAAAAUCAGAGUGCUCAAAGCAGGCAUUUGCCGUGAAUGUAUUAGCAUGGAAUAAUAGAAUAGGACUCGGUUCUAUUUUGUUGGUUUGUUGGGACUGAGUAAUGAUUAAGAGGGACAGUUGGGGGCAUUUGUAUUUCGGCGCUAGAGGUGAAAUUCUUAGAUUGCCGAAAGACAAACUGCUGCGAAAGCGUCUGCCAAGGAUGUUUUCAUUGA